ACGAACGCUGGCGGUGUGCUUAACACAUGCAAGUCGAACGGUAAGGCCCUUUCGGGGGUACACGAGUGGCGAACGGGUGAGUAACACGUGAGUAACCUGCCCUCAUCUCUGGGAUAACAGUCGGAAACGGUUGCUAAUACUGGAUAUGAGCUUGCAAGGCAUCUUGUGGGUUGGAAAGAUUUUUUUUGGUUGGGGAUGGACUCGCGGCCUAUCAGCUUGUUGGUGAGGUAGUGGCUCACCAAGGCUUCGACGGGUAGCCAGCCUGAGAGGGCGACCGGCCACAUUGGGACUGAGAUACGGCCCAAACUCCUACGGGAGGCAGCAGUGGGGAAUAUUGCACAAUGGACGGAAGUCUGAUGCAGCAACGCCGCGUGCGGGAUGACGGCCUUCGGGUUGUAAACCGCUUUCAAUUGUGACGAAGCUUUUUUGUGACGGUAGCAGUAGAAGAAGCACCGGCUAACUACGUG
rnacentral:rRNA from 1 species